GGGACCGAGACCGAGAGCCAGGCGCGCAGACGCCGCGGUGCGCGCGCUCUUGGAGAGGGGCCGGCGGUGUGCGCACACCUGGAGAGGAGCCGGAGGUGUGCACGUGCCGGUGUGCGCGCACACUGGGAGAAGAGUCGGCGGUGUGUACGUGCCGGUGUGCGUGCACUCUCGGAGGGUGAUGGGAGGUGCACAGAGAAGACUAACCCUGCCCACCUGGUGCCCUCCUGUCCCCGCGGAGACAGCGAUCUCCAUACCCAGCCGGAGCCUUAGUCCCCACCUCAGGGUUCAGGUCCUCAGGAGGAAAAUCAGGCAGCAGCUGGAAGGCCCGCUUCAGCCCGUGGAGCCAGUGCGCAGGGCGGCCAGCCGCGCCGUGAGAGCGGGGGCUCCGGAAGAAACGAAUGGAAUCUUAAACCCUCCACGGAUGGGAGAUUCUGGUCAUUCAGCAAUAUUCACAUGCGGUGGCCACCCCGAUUCUCUCUCUAAGUGAUGUCUGUACGCAGAUCACUGCAGGGAGUGAGAUGGGCGGAGCGGGGGGAGCCACCCCAGCGGGGGAGAGCACUCAGGAGGCUCUGGGUUCCUUGGGAAAAGAGCAAGAAGUUGUUCGGGGUUUCUUUUUUUAGCCUCUCUCUGAACGCCCGUUUCUCUGUACAAAGUUAGCAUAAUUUCUAAAAUGUCUGUUGAAGAUCCAGAAGUGUGUGGCCACUGCCCUGCCUUGAAGUCUCUAGACUGGAUUUCAGAAAUGCCACCUUCUCGGUGAGUCAUGGGCCUGCGGCUGCCUGCGCCCACCUGGCCCCCCGGCAUCCACCCUGUAUCUGGGGGGGUCUUGUUCAGGGAGCGUGACUUUGUGGCGCUUUCAUUCGGGCGUGGACUCACCCACCUCUCAGUGGCUGGCGUCCGCCCUGUGUCGCCCAGGGCGCCGCACGGAAGUGGCUGUCCCGUGUCUAUGAGGACAAAACGGCUAGAUCUUCCCAGGAAAAGUCCUCCGCUCCCAAAAGCUCGCUUUUCCUUUGUGUGCCGCCCUGUUGAGACUCAGGGUGUGGUACAGACCCUUCCCCCCCCCCCCCCGCCGUUGAACCGCCCUGUCCAGAGAGCAUUUUCCAAUCGCUUGAAAACCGCGAUGCUAAGGGGCUGUUAAAUGCCCAGUUUGCCUUUGGUUCCCUCCUUGAUGACACUGGUCCUGUAUUCAGCCGUUUCCUGUUUUCCACCUUCUCGGGCCACAGUGGCACUGGUGACAUCAAGAGGUUGGAAGACGGGCUCGUGGAAGUUAGGUAGGAGAAUGUUCCCAAUAGGGACAAGGGACAUUUCCUCAUUCUUUGGUAAAAUAUACAGGCAUCUUCAGAAAACUCUGUUCUGCUUAUUGUGUGUAUCAUAAAAUAGAAGUAAAUCCGUGUGCUCACUCACCCUGGAGGUACGUCCCUGGCCGUCUCCGGAGAGGCCACUGCUCCUGAGCCCCAGUGACCGAGAGUCUGCAGCCCCCACCCUCCACCGCCACACCCGGACCCACCCUUCUCAUCCUGUGUCAUGGUUCAUUUUGGAAACGUCUGCUCAAACUGAAAGUCCUCAUGGGAGGAGGGCCAGUCCUCCACCCUCUUGGGUGCGAUGAUGCUGCCAGCGUUUACUCACAUCUUAAAAGACUAGCACGCUCGUUUGCAGGUUAAAGCUGCAGCCCUUUGGCAAGAACUCCUCAGAUCUGACAGAUUCUAGACCGAGGCAUCUGAUUCACUCCGAUUAUCUCCCCGGCCUGCUGACUGCUCAGACACCUGCUCUUUACCCUUUCUGCGGUGGGAGAAGUGCCUGUCGUCUUCACCGUUGAACUCCACAGGCCGUCUAGAGGGUUCCUUCUGGGAGACUUCACACCGCCCUGGCUCAGAAAGCCUACAAGACUCGGGGUGCCUGGUGGCUCUGUCGAUUAUGCGUCUGACUCUUGAUUCAGCUCAGAAUCCAGACACCGACACGGGGCGUGAGCACCAGAGCCCAUGGUGGUUUUGGGAAACUCGCUUUUAUGUUCCACGGAAAGCGGUCACUUCCCUGCUACCUGUCCGCUUACCUCGCAGGUCAGAGGGACCCGCCAGCCCACCUGCCGCCAUGAGGCUGAGAAGAAGAGCCAGAUGGCCUCGGAUAAUCUCAGCCCCUCUGAUGCUGAUUCCUCUAGCCGAGAAAUAAGUAGCUAGAAAUACAGUUCUUUGAUAAGACACACCACAGUUUCAAAGCUUUCUCUCCUGCAUCCCUCACUCCUCACGCUCGGGGUGCCGAUGGUGUACAGACGAGCAAGAUAGAGGGCUGCUAAACGAGGAGAGGCAGAUGCACACGCAGUCUGGGCUCAGACGCGACACGCAGGGGCCAAGGAAGCGGCGCUGCCCCCUCGGCCUGGCUGGGCCACAGCACCAGCGGGCAGGCGGAGCCUCGGAGACCAGAGGGCUUGAAAUGGCCCGGAUGGAAUUGCUGUCCUCGAGUCAAAAUCGGGUGCACGGGCCUCAGAAUGGGUGGGCUUCCUCCAGUUCUCAGCGUCUUCCUGGUGGUGGUGACUCUGGGGCUGCCCUGGGCGGUGGAGGAGGGUAGCUCCUGCCUCACAUUCGUAAUGAGAGCAUAUCUCCUAAAUGUGGGAGUUACUUCAGAUACCAGCCUCCAGGAUGCAAGUGUCUGCCACAGAGAGCUUUACUAGGAGAUGCUCAGGGUGCUUAGGGACGCGGAAGAGCAAGGUCAGACCCAAGAGCCCCAAUCCCGAGCUUUGGGCCAGGACGAGGAAGCGGGGGCUGUGGGCAGCUGGGCCAGGAAGACCGCACAGGGCAGUUUGCGGGGCGGGCUUCUGGCAGCGGCACUCCGGAUAAGCUUGAACUUCUGGCGCCUCCACCGAACGGCCCCUCCGUCCAGCCUCCAGUGCAGGGAAUGAACUAUGUGCACCCGCUGCUCACAUAGAAACCCAGCUAGAGGUCACAUACGUCACUUGUCCUCAGUAAAGAAAACAGGUCACCAAUUCGAAAUCA